rnacentral:lncRNA from 1 species
AGUAUCCAGCCCUGGAUGGCACGUCUGGUCUCUGCAUUCAUCGUGGGCAAGGUCUCUCCUGCAGGCGGUGACCUUUAGCAGAGCUGGGCUGGAGGUUGUCAUCCAAACAAAUGAGAGCUGACCUGGAACGUCUUUUUAACUCAGCAUCUCAUGUCCCGAGCCUCUGAAAGCGGCUGCAAGAGCAGCCAAGCCAAAGGAGCCGGGUCCCUUGUAUGCUGCAGCCAAGAGUGCAAAUGGGGCCUUGCCAUCUUCCUUUGCUUCUCCAGCGUCCUCCCUGAUGCCUUCUCGGGGCAGCACAUACAGGUCUGAACUUGGAGGGCCGCAACUUGAUCCGCUCUUGUCCACAUUUGGUGUAUAAACAUCUCUGUAGACUGUUUUCAAGAGACUACUCUCAGAUCUUCCUUCACACUGAGGUGUUGACGACUGGUUACUCUCUAACACAGCUAUUCUCAUCAGACUGUGAGGCCUGGCAGAAGUUGCUGCAUGAAAAGGAAGUCUGAUUUCAGGAAUAAUCUCUCUUUCCUCCACCCUUGUUUGACAUGUCUCACUGCCUUAGAAGAAGAAAGCACCACAGGCCACCAGGGGAAGUGUAGGAUGGACAGUAGCACACACUCUCCAAUCAACAAGGAAUCUAUGAAAAUCUGAAUUUUCACAGAGUCUGGUGAAAUGAGUUUGACGGGGUUCAGGACACACUACCCCAGAACAUGAUCCCAAGCCAAAAACCUAGAAGAGUAGAAGGAAAAAAAACUGGGGGGCUGAAAGGAAAGGAACACAAAAACAUCUGUUUGAAGGACAUAAUGAUUGAAAAUUUUCUGAUUUGAUGAAAACUAUAGACCAAUAGAUUCAAGAAACUCAAGAAACCCCAAAUACAAGAAACAUGAAGAAAACUACCUCUAAAACGCUUGAAGUUGAGCGAAUACGCAUUUAUUUACUCUAUAUAUGUAAGACUAGACAUGAAUUAAAAUAAAACAAAAUCUAUCCUCUGCUAACAGAGAAAGCCUUAGAGGCCCUCUGACUGUCUUCAUGGGUAUUGUGGAUGAGCCAAGGAAAUGCAAGACAGUUGUUGUCCUCAAGUAGGUUUUGAGCUACCUGAGCACACUUAUGUUGGAAAGACUAUUACUCAACUCCACAAUAUCCAUUCCCUCUUCUUGCAUUGCUGCCAGAACCCCAGUUGUGUCCAAAUAGCCACGUCUUUCCCACAUGACUCCAGAAGGAAAGACCAUAUCCCCAGACCCAGGAAUAGAUCCUGAUUUAUUCAGUCACGAAGAUCUGAUUCCCCUUGAUAGCAAUUCACAUGAAGGUGGCUAUAUGACCCGCAUGACAAGAGAUGUCGAGGGAAGUAUAUUGGAGGAUUUCUGAGAAAGAUUCUUUACUUCCAAAAGAGAUAAGAGGAAGAGACAAUCUCUUCUUCCUUUGGACACUGAUGUGCCUGAUGCCUGGAACUUCUGUACUCAAUCUGCAACUAAGUAAGGGCCAGUCUGAGGUCAGAGUCAAUAGCCUGAGAAUGAUGGAAAGAAUUUGGAUCUUUGAUGAUGCUGUUGAGCUGCUGAAUUAACCAACCAUGAAGCUCCUGUACCAGGGAACUUUUUCUUGUAUGAAAUAAUACAUUUUCUUAUUGUUUAAAUCAAUUCAAAUUGGUUUUUAUAUUCCUUGCAGCCCAAAAUAUUCUACCACCAAUAACUAAAUAUUUACAUAACUAAUUCUAUCACCUUGGGUGGAUAACUACUCUCCAGGCUUCACUUUCCUUUUUUUUUUUUUUAGUGAGGAAGAUUGGCCCUAAGUUAACAUCUGUUGCCAAUCUUCCACUUUUUGCUUAAGGAAGACUGUCACUGAGCUAACAUCCAUGGCAAUCUUCCUCUAUUUUGUAUGUGGGAUGCUGCCACAGUGUGGCUUGAUGAGCAGUGUGUAGGUCCGUGCCAGGAUCUGAACCCGCAAACUCUGGGCUGCUGAAGCAGGGUGCAUGAACUUAACCAUGACACAACUGGGCUAGCCCCCUAGGCCUCACUUUUUUCCCAUGGAAAGCGAAGAAUAUGGAUAAAACAAAUUCUACCGUUCCUUUUAGCCCUAACAAAUUCACCUUAAAUGUAACUGAUUAUUCUAGCAGUCAGUCAUAACUGUCAUGUGUGUGAUUCAGGUACUCUAUGACUCAGCAAUUCAUCUUCUAGGGAUAUGCCCUAGAGAAAUUAGUGCGUAUGUCUACCAAAAGACACUACAAGAAUAUGCGUAGAAGCUUUAUUCACAGUAGUCAAGAUCUAGAAACAAUCCUGUAUCAGAGUUCUCCAGAGAAACAGAACCAAUAGGAUAUAUAUAUAGAUAUAUUAAGAAAUUUAUUUUAAGAAAUUGACCCAUGAACUUGUGGAGGCUAGCAUGUCUGAAAUCCGUAGGGCAGGUCAGCAGGCUGGAAACUCAGGCCGGAGCUAAUGCUGCAGGCUUGAGGCAGAAUUUCUUCUCUGGGAAACCUCGGUUUUUGUUCACAAGCCCUUCAAUUGAUUGGAUAAGUGCCCCCCCCCCCGCCCCCCACUAUCAAGGGUCAUCUUCUUUACUUAAAGUCAACUGAUUGUAGAUGUUACCACAUCGACAAAAGACCUUCACGGCAACACCUCGCUUAGUGUUUGAUUAAAUAACUGGGUAAUAUAACCUAGCCAAGUGGAUACUUAAAACUAACCAUCACAAACUGAAUGUCCAUCCACAGGAGAAGGAAUAAAUAAAUUGUGGUAUCUUCAGGCAAAGGAAUGCUACAUAGCAAUAAAAAGAAUAAAAUGCUAAUAAACAACAACAUGGAUGAAUAUCAUGGACAAAUAUCACAGGGUGAAGAAGCCAGAUACAAAACUACAUACUAUAUGAUCCAUUUACAUAAAUUUUAAGAGUAGGCAAAAUUCACUGAUGGUAAUAGAAGGCUGAGGGGAGUUGUGGACUGGGAAGGGGCACAAGGAAAUCUUCUGAGUGCUGGAAAUGUUUGAUAUCUUGACCUGAUGGCUACACAGGUAAUACAUAUAUAAAAAUUCAUCAAGCUGUACACUAAAAUUCUACUUUAACACUUAAAAAUAAUAAUCAAAAAAAAAAAGAAAAAAGCGCUACGGGAAUCUAGAGUGAGAGAGACAAUUCUGGUCUAAAAUGACGAGAAGUCUUCAUGGAGACUGUGGGCUCGCGCUGGCCUUUGAAGGAUGAGUGGAAUCUCAGAGAUUAAGAGAGGAAUUAAACAAAGUUACGGCAGAGGAAAUGCAAAGACAUGCCAGAUGAUGAUGAUUUUUUUUUUCCCCUUAAGGAUGCCACUUUUACUCAGGAAACAGUGAAAUAAAUACCACACGUCAGACGUAAUGUAGACUAGCAGUUACGAGCACAGGCUUUGGGGCCAGGUAUUUGUGGGUUUGAAUCCUGCCUCUGAUGCUUGCUGGUUUGAAUAAGUGCUCUGGACGUGCUUUCUCAUUUGUGAAGUACUUCACACUCUAUGUACGUCCUAGGGUUGUGGAGAGAAUUAAACAGAAUAAUAUACGUGAUAUGCGUGGCACAGUGCUGUGCACACAGAGUGAGCCCUCAAUAAACAGGAGCCACUGCUACUACUACUUCUAUAACUGCCAUUCUGGGCCUUGUGGUCCCCUUCACUUGAGGGUGGUACUGCCCAAGGGAAGGGGAAUGGCCUCACGAUCUCUUCGGGUUCUUUCAAGCCCUCAGAUCUCUAAUUCCUAAUAAAAUCUAAAUGACCAAAUCAGAGCAGAUGAAUGACUAAGGUUUGACUCUUCCGAACCAUGUUGGUAUCAUUUCCCCCCCAUAGUCUAGUCCAUGAUCAUUCCUAAAUAUAAUCCUUGAUCAUGCCAGCAUACAUCUCUGUCCCAGAUAGGAAGAUGUAGGACAGCUCAUGCUCCAAAUGAUCUUACAUGUUGGUUGUCACACACACUGACGCACAGAGAAUCCUGAAGAACGUAUAAAAGUCCUUUACUUUGGGUGUACAUCAUACAUCCCAUCUCUUUAGAAACUACAAGGAGAGUUAGAGAUGUGGGAGUGCUCACAUGUUCUUUCCAGUAGUAACCAGUCCCCACCCUACUGCCGCUUAAUUGGUUUUCUCUUAAUUGAAGUAAAAUUUACAUGACAUAAAAUUAACCAUUUCAAAACGUACAAUUCAGUGGCAUCUAGUACAUUCACAGCGAGUGCAACCACCACCUCUGUCUCAUUCCAAAACAUUUCAUCUCCUCAAAGGGAAACUCUGUACCCAUCAAGCAGCCAUUCUCCAUUCCCUCUUUCCUCCUGACAACCACUGAUCUGUUUUUUGACUCUAUGGAUUUACCCAUUCUAGAUAUUUCAUAAAAAUGAGAUCAUACACUAUGUGACCCGCCACUUAGUUUUUGCAUUGGCCUUCUUGGCCGUGUUUAAAUAUUUGCUCCCUCGUGAUUGCCAGAGAAACUUCUUCACCCUUGAAUUGCCUCCUCAACAGCCCGUUAGGCCUUUCACCUCCUUUUGCUUUCAUCUCUAAGGUCUUACUUCCUCUUAGCUUAUCUGACCUUCAGUUCCAUGCGGUUUCACUCUAGAGCUGUGCUGUCCAGUACUAGCCACUAGCCACAUGAGGCUAUUUAAAUUAUGAAUUAAAACUAAAUAACAUUAAAAACUCAGUAUCUCAGUCACACAGCAACAUUUCAAGCGUCCAACAGACACACGUGGCUAGUGACUUCCAUAUGGGUCAGCACAGAUAAAGAACAUCACCAGCAUAGAAGAAAGUUCUAUUGAAUAGCACUGCUCUAGAGGGCACUGGAUCCUGGCAAGUGGAGAAUGGGAUUAGGGAAAGAGAACUUCACAGGGGUCUGCCUUCAGGGUAUGGGACCUCUAAAAUUAUUUGACCUUCUGCACUGCCCCGGACUCCUCCUGUAGAGUCACCCACUGUCUAUGUGAAUGCCACCCCCCCCCCUCCCCCGCAAAUUGUGCAGUGCACAGCCUAUACCCAGCCAUGCUAGAAGAAUGUCUGUCUCUGCCUGUCAUCCCAUCCUGUAGGCACCCAACUCCAUAAACAAAAGGGAAGGAGAAAAAAACCCUUCCCACCACAUCUGUUUGCUAUCUUAGUUUUUAAAUUCUCAAAUUAGACUAUAAACUCCUUGAGGGCAGCCCGCAUGUUUUCUUUACCCAUGUUCCCUACAUGAAAACAUCCAGCACACAGAUAUGCAUCCAGCAGGCAUACAGCCAAGAUUUGCAGAUUAACCAGUUGAUUGAAACAUUCAAUUUACAUGACAUAAAAUUAAAUAAAUUUUGCUUGAAAAUUAAAUAAUAAAUUUGGCUGACUCUGGGGGUAUCUGUACCCUAAGAUUCCUCUUGGUUGGGGGCGAGGGGUGCCCUCUCCAUACUGACCCUUGUUCUGCCCUCCAGUGAUGCACGCAGGACAGAGAGGGGCAAUGGGUGUUUGGCCUUGCACUUCGGAAUGUUCAUUACGGCCUCUCCUCUAAGCCUCUAACUAUUGCACUAUGCUCAUUCCACGACUAAAACAAUUAUCACUUGUAGUAGGAAGAUUUACUGCAUGUAAAAACAGUUACCUGCAUGUGUCUGCCUUCCCCAGCAGAGUGUGAAAACUUGAUGCAACACUAGCACAUUAGAAGGCAUUCAACAGUUCAGGGUAAAAAAUAAACAAACAUAAACAAACAUGUGAAUGAAAGAGAUCCUUUUCAGGUAGGAGGUAGAAACUGCAGCUAGAGAAAUGAAGGCAGCCAGAAUGGGGACACUCCAGGGCAGUGCAGAGAAGGAGGGGGCAGAGUCUGGGGCCUGGGCACAGUUGUCAUGUGUUCCAUUUCCUGUGCGACAGACUCCCUCUAACCUGGCCAGACCUGAUGCAAACCCUCCAUCCCUCCCUACUCCAGGGUGGAAAAGAACAUGUUUCUGCUUUCAGAUUUACUUGUUAGAAUCUUUGCCUCAGGAGGCAAAACAAAAUUAUAGCCAAGCCUACACGUCAAUGAGCUGUCUUGUGAUAGAAAACAUCAAACAACACUUUUGCACUUUGGAUUUUGAUCCACAAUAAAACUGUCCGCUAGAAACCAAUAUUGACUUCUCACCACCUCCAGGUCAGUAGAUCUUAAUGAAUCUUGAUGUGACCUCCUCUUUCUCAACUGCCUGUCACACCCAUGCAUAUGCAUUCCCCUUCAAACCCUUUCUAGGUGAUUAAUUAGAGAAUUUCCUCCUGUCCAUUAAAACACAGAUAGUAGCAUUUAGAUGUCUGGAGGCCAUGUUGUUCUUAGGGUAAUGGUAACGUCUGCUUUUAGCAGCUCUAGUGGCACUUGGCAGAAGCUCCCACGUUGCUUCAGUUCCAGGUAGAUCGUGUGCUUUGCUUAAGGCAGCCUCUGGCCACUGGGUAACAGGGAUGGGAGGAAUUCUCUAGGCUCGGACCCUGUAGCCUGGAAAGCAACUGGAGAAGUCACAUUGCACUGAUUUCACAUGUCCGUCGUCCCCCAGAUGUAUUCCUCCCUCCUUAUUGCCUAGUAAUUAGUACCUGAUCACGCUGGAAGUGCCAAGCACUAUGUCCUUUACCUGCGUGGUCUCACUUGUUCAUCUGGACAGAUCUAUGAUGUGGUACUACUACAACAAUCCCCAAUACCGACAAGAAUGUGAGCCAUGGAGAGGUUAGUUAAUUUACCCAAAUCCACAUGGAUAGUAGCUUGCUGAGUGUGACCUGAAACCAGUUCCGUCUGACCCCUAAAUCCUUGCUCUUAACCUCUGUGGCAUAAGGUCUACGCCAUGUUGCUUCUCAUGUUAGUUGAGUUCUUAAUAGUUUUAGUUUAAAGAUGAGGAAAACUGAGGCUUAGAGAAGGUAAGGAACUUAUUAUCCAGGUUCAUCCAGCUUAUAAGAGUGACGCUAGGGUUCAAACCUUGGCCCGGCUGACUGCAGCACCUAGCCAUAGUUGACUGGGAUUGCAUUUUCUGCCCACACCUUUGCUGACACUGGUCCCACCCCCAUCUUCCACCUAGUCCUCUCAGCUCUUAGCAAAACAUGUCCCCACUUCCCAUCCUUGAAUCCCAUUUUUUCUGCCUAAUAAAUAUUCUCCUUCUGGCCCUCCUCAAG